AAUUACUGUGCUAUGCUCUCCUAAAAGUUCUUUUGAAAGAUGUAAUAUCCACAUAUUUCGUAUGUAAAGAUUUACUCUGUUCUUAUUUCCUGAAAACAAUAAUUUUUUGGAUAUCUGAAGAACUGCCACAAUCCGUAUGGAAACCUAACAAUAUGAUACCUUGUUUUAUGCGAUGUUUCAGCAGGCUGGUUUAUUGUGUUGAACACUCAGUUUGUUUGCAUUACUUCAUUCCAGAGAACAAUAUGUUUGAGAACAAAAUAGAGGGUCGUGGUCGUAAAAUACUUUUAGAAAAACUCUAUACUUUGUAUAGUUAUGGAUGGCGAUGCAUCUUAUUUUCGAAUCAA
rnacentral:lncRNA from 1 species